rnacentral:lncRNA from 1 species
AAAGAGAUUGCUCUCGUGAAGGUAAUAUGGAGAGGCAUAGUUGGAGGAAGAAUGACUUGUGAGUUAGAAAGCAGGAUGCGAGAGUCGUGUCAAGAGUUGUUCGCAUCAGGUUAUUUUCGAGGAAAAAAAUGUUCUAAGUGGGGGAGAGUUGUAACGCCCCGAUUUUAUUUAAAUUAUUUUUUCGUAAUUUAAUUAUGCGAUAGUUGUAGUUGUG